UACGAAGGGGGCUAGCGUUGUUCGGAAUUACUGGGCGUAAAGCGCGCGCAGGCGGUCUUCCAAGUCAGUGGUGAAAGCCCGGAGCUCAACUCCGGAACUGCCAUUGAAACUGUUGGACUUGAGUACGAGAGAGGUGAGUGGAAUUCCCAGUGUAGAGGUGAAAUUCGUAGAUAUUGGGAAGAACACCGGUGGCGAAGGCGGCUCACUGGCUCGUAACUGACGCUCAGGCGCGACAGCGUGGGGAUCGAAA
rnacentral:rRNA from 1 species